ensembl:lncRNA
AGAAGCCUCUGCUCUGAUCUGGCUUUACUCUUUUUGAAUAAGAGAUUUCCCUCCUUGAAUAAGUUGUCCAAUACAUCAGGUAUUUGUCAGUGUUACAAGAUACAAUUACAGUGUCAAUGGCAGGUUACCAGGGAGAGCGCUGGGUAGAACUGGGUUGUAGAGCACAUAUCUCAACCCAAACACUCAUCAACACAGAGGUGGAUACUGGGGCGGCAGGUAGCCUAGUGGUUAGUGGUUAGAGCAGGUAGCCUAGUGGUUAGAGCAGGUAGCCUAGUGGUUAGUGGUUAGAGCAGGUAGCCUAGUGGUUAGUGGUUAGAGCAGGUAGCCUAGUGGUUAGUGGUUAGAGCAGGUAGCCUAGUGGUUAGUGGUUAGAGCAGGUAGCCUAGUGGUUAGUGGUUAGAGCAGGUAGCCUAGUGGUUAGUGGUUAGAGCAGGUAGCCUAGUGGUUAGAGCAGGUAGCCUAGUGGUUAGUGGUUAGAGCAGGUAGCCUAGUGGUUAGAGCAGGUAGCCUAGUGGUUAGAGCAGGUAGCCUAGUGGUUAGAGCAGGUAGCCUAGUGGUUAGAGCAGGUAGCCUAGUGAUUAGAGCAGGUAGCCUAGUGGUUAGAGAAGGUAGCCUAGUGGUUAGAGCAGGUAGCCUAGUGGUUAGAGAAGGUAGCCUAGUGGUUAGAGAAGGUAGCCUAGUGGUUAGAGCAGGUAGCCUAGUGGUUAGAGCAGGUAGCCUAGUGGUUAGAGAAGGUAGCCUAGUGGUUAGAGCAGGUAGCCUAGUGGUUAGAGCAGGUAGCCUAGUGGUUAGAGCAGGUAGCCUAGUGGUUAGAGAAGGUAGCCUAGUGGUUAGAGCAGGUAGCCUAGUGGUUAGAGCAGGUAGCCUAGUGGUUAGAGAAGGUAGCCUAGUAGUUAGAGCAGGUAGCCUAGUGGUUAGAGCAGGUAGCCUAGUAGUUAGAGCAGGUAGCCUAGUGGUUAGAGCAGGUAGCCUAGUGGUUAGAUCAGGUAGCCUAGUGGUUAGAUCAGGUGGCCUAGUGGUUAGAUCAGGUGGCCUAGUGGUUAGAUCAGGUAGCCUAGUGGUUAGAUCAGGUAGCCUAGUGGUUAGAGCAGGUAGCCUAGUGGUUAGAUCAGGUGGCCUAGUGGUUAGAGCAGGUAGCCUAGUGGUUAGAGCAGGUAGCCUAGUGGUUAGAUCAGGUGGCCUAGUGGUUAGAGCGUUGGGCCAGUUACCGAAAGGCUGCUGCAUCGAAUCCCCAAGCUGACA